GGUGGCAAGCGUUAUCCGGAAUUAUUGGGCGUAAAGGGUGCGUAGGCGGUCUGCUAAGUCCAUGGUGAAAGCGUGGGGCUCAACCCCAUAUAGCCAUGGGUACUGACAGACUAGAGUACUGGAGAGGGUAGUGGAAUUCCAUGUGUAGCGGUAAAAUGCGUAGAUAUAUGGAGGAACACCGGUGGCGAAGGCGGCUACCUAGACAGAGACUGACGCUGAGGCACGAAAGCGUGGGGAGCAAAUA
rnacentral:rRNA from 1 species